UUGUUUCAUAGGUUUGAUUCAGACUCAAACGACAUGGACAGGGACUCGACGUCAAAAGACGUCGAAGCAAGUUUUGCUCCACAAGUUUUCGGGCGCCAUGAGCGCCCUGUUAGAUCCAGAUCGAGAUGCCGUGGGCGCCCCUUUCGAUAUUGAUCCCUCCGCAGGUUCACCUACGGAGA
rnacentral:misc_RNA from 1 species